rnacentral:rRNA from 1 species
CCUACGGGUGGCAGCAGUGAGGAAUAUUGGUCAAUGGCCGGAAGGCUGAACCAGCCAAGCCGCGUGAGGGAGGAAGGCGCAGAGCGUCGCAGACCUCUUUUGCCGGGGGACAAAAGGCCGGACUCGUCCGGUCCUGAGUGUACCCGGAGAAAAAGCAUCGGCUAACUCCGUGCCAGCAGCCGCGGUAAUACGGAGGAUGCGAGCGUUAUCCGGAUUCAUUGGGUUUAAAGGGUGCGCAGGCGGGCUUUUAAGCCGGGGGUGAAAUCGCGGGGCUCAACCCCGCCGAGCCGUUGGAACUGGGAGCCUUGAGUGUGUGGGAGGCAUGCGGAAUGCGCGGUGUAGCGGUGAAAUGCUUAGAUAUCGCGCAGAACCCCGAUUGCGAAGGCAGCCUGCCGUGCCGCGACUGACGCUGAGGCACGAAAGCGUGGGGAUCGAACAGGAUUAGAUACCCGUGUAGUC